UACGAAGGGGGCUAGCGUUGCUCGGAAUCACUGGGCGUAAAGGGCGCGUAGGUGGCCCCUCAAGCGUGCGGUGAAAGUCAGGGGCUCAACCCCUGAUCGGCCGUGCGAACUGGGGAGCUUGAGCACUGUAGAGGCAGGCGGAAUUCCGGGUGUAGCGGUGGAAUGCGUAGAGAUCCGGAAGAACACCGGUGGCGAAGGCGGCCUGCUGGGCAGUUUUGCUGACACUGAGGCGCGACAGCGUGGGGAGCAAACAGG
rnacentral:rRNA from 1 species